rnacentral:rRNA from 1 species
UAAAUAUUAAAUUGUUGUUGUAAUUUAUUAAAAUGUAUAUUUGUUUUGUAUUGUGAAAGAUUGUUUGUUAUAACUAUAGAUAAGAGUACUGUAAUGGAUUUUUGAAAAAUUGAAAAAAGAUUUAUUAAAAAGUAAUUUUUGUACCUUUUGUAUAAGGGAUUAACUAUAAAGUUUAUAUAUUUAUAUUUCCCGAAAUAUUUUGAGCUACUAGUUUAGAGGGUGUGUUGUUUCACAAACAUAUUAAAUUGAUAGUAGAAAUGAAAUUUUAUUCGAAAAAUUUGAUAUCUGGUUAUAUUUAUAGAAAUUUUAUAUUUUAGAUAAGUUUUUGAUUUUUAAUUAAUUAUCUAUUUAUUUUUUAGGGAUAAGCUUAAAAAAUUUUUUAUAAAUAUUGAAUUAGAUCAUUGAAGGUUUAAAAUUUACUUUUUAUUUGUAAUAAAAUAAUGAAUUUAUUUGUUUAUUUUAUUAAGGUUGUUUUUAUAUAACUCAAAUUAAAAGUUUUAAUGUUAAUAUUAGUAUAAGUUUUGUUUUAGAAGUUUUAGUUGAUUUGGAUUAAAUAAGGGGAUUAGAUUUAUAGGAAUUAGGCAAAUAUAGUUUCUGAAUGUUUAUCAAAAACAUAGUAUUUUGAAAUAAUGAAAUAUGAAGUCUGCUCAAUGAUUAUAAAUUGCUGUGGUAUUUUGACUAUACGAAGGUAUUGAAAUAAGGCUUUAAUUGAGUGCUAAGAGAAUGGCUAUACAGGGAUUAACUUUCUUUAAAUUUAUAAUAGAAUUUAAUUUAAAAAUGAAAAAGUUUUUAUAAUUUUUUGGGACAAGAAGACCCUAUGAAUUUUUUUUAAAAAUUUAUUUAUAACUUAUAUAAAAAGUAAGUUAAAUAAGAUUUUAAGUUGAUUGGGGCGAUUUUUAAAGAAUUAGUAUCUUUAAAAUUUUUAUUAAUUUGAUCCAUAAUUUGUGAUUGUUUGAUUAAAAUACUCUAGGGAUAACAGCGUAAUUAUUUUGGAUAGUUCAUAUAGAUAAAAUAGUUUGCGACCUCGAUGUUGGAUUAAGAUUCUUAUAUAAUGCAGAAGUUAUAUUAAGGAGUUUGCUCAACUUUUGAAUUCUUACAUGAUCUGAGUUCAGACCGGCGUGAGCCAGGUCGGUUUCUAUCUAAAUAGAUAUAGAAAUUGUUAUAGUACGAAAGGAAUUAAUAGUUUAAAUUGUUUAAUUAAUUUUAAUAUGAAUAA